rnacentral:snRNA from 1 species
GUGUUCGCUUCGGCAGCACAUAUACUAAAA